GGUGACAAGGCUGAUUUGCUGAAAGUGCAGCAAGAAAAGGAGAGAUUGGAAAAGUUUGAGCGCGAAGAGAGAGCUAGGAUUGAGGCUCAAAUCAGAAGUGUUGAAGCUGCUACGAAAAAGAGGGCUGAGGAAGAGUCCAAGCAACGAAGAGAAAACAAAAGAGAAGCUGCCCGAGUUAUGAUAGACAAGGUCUCCCCCCCCCCCCCAAGACAACCCAAAAAAAAAAAAAACUUUAAUAUUUCUAGCUCUAGAAUCUUGAUCCUGGGAAAGCUGAAGUUUAAAUCCAUUGUGUGCUCAUUGUAGGUGGAAAAAACUACGGAGUUUAACUCGGACAGUUUUAAGGAACUUGAAAUGUUUAAGCGGGUGUGCUCUAUCAUAUCGUGUUCGGAGACAGGUAAUUGGAUCAGAUAGAUUCCAGCGGGGAAGCCCCUUGGAACGUUGGGUUUGUUCUUGAAGAAUGUAGUACAUGGCUGAUGAAGAUGAGGAUGUUCUGAACGGAGGUUGGGAAGAAGGGGAAAUUCUUUGAAACGCCUUUUUUGCUGUUCUUCCUGCUCUUGUUAAUACAUUUUUGCCCAGGGGAACAGACGAAAUUGCUGUAAAUGCGUAUCUAUUCUGAAAUGAAAGAGCUGCCUACAUUUUAUCA